GGUUUUUUGAUUUUAAUUUAAAAUUUGGCCUGCUCAAUGAAUUUAUUUAAAUAGCUGCAGUAUUUUGACUGUACAAAGGUAGCAUAAUCAAUAGUUUUUUAAUUGAAAGCUAGAAUGAAGGGUUCGAUGAAAUAAGUUCUUUUUUAUAAUUAAAAUUUAAAAUUUAUUUAUUAGUCAGAAAGCUAAUAUGAAUUUAAGGGACGAGAAGACCCUAUAGAUUUUAAUUUUAUUUAUAAAAUAAUAAAUUAAUUUAAUUAAUUUUUUUAUAAAUUUUAUUUGAUUGGGGUGAUUAUUAAAUUGGAUUAACUUUAAUUUUUUUUUACAAUGAUUGUUGGAUACAUGAUCCUUAAAUUAAGAUUAUAAGACUAAAAUACCUUAGGGAUAACAGUAUAAUUUUUUUGGAGAGAUCAUAUUUAUAAAAAAGAUUAU
rnacentral:rRNA from 1 species